rnacentral:rRNA from 1 species
CAUGUCCUAUUGAAUUUAAUUUUAGGUCAGGCCUGCCCAAUGAAAUAUUAAUGGCCGCAGUAUUUUGACUGUGCAAAGGUAGCAUAAUCAUUAGUUUCUUAAUUGGAAGCUGGAAUGAAUGGUUCAAUGAGAAAGAGGCUGUCUCAAUUAAAUUGGAUUUGAAAUUUUCUUUUAAGUAAAAAGACUUAAAUUUUUUAAGAGGACGAGAAGACCCUAUAGAGUUUUAUUUAUUUUAAAUUUUUAAAUAGGAUUUAAUUCUAAAAAUUAUAGAUUUAAAUUUUGUUGGGGUGAUAUGAGAAUUAAAAUAACUUCUUAUUUUAUAGAAUAAUAAUUUUUAGGUUUUUGAUCUUGAUAUUUGGAUUAUAAGACAAAAUUACCUUAGGGAUAACAGCGUAAUUUCUUUGGAGAGUUCAUAUCGAUAGGGGAGAUUGCGACCUCGAUGUUGGAUUAAGAUUAACUAAGGUGUAGAAGUUUUAGGAAUAAGUCUGUUCGACUUGUAAAAUC